rnacentral:misc_RNA from 1 species
UGGGCGCCUUUUAAAUAAAUAACAGUAGCGAAAUCUCUUGCAGUCACAGUAAGUAGAACAGGAAAAUAUAGAUAAGCGAAGUAAAAUGUGAUAGUGAAGAAAACUUUCAGAAAUUGACAUUAUUAUGAGUAGCCAACUAAAAUAUGAGCGAACAAUGACCACAGAAUUUUUAAAUGUGAUAGAUGCAUCUGUUUGCAGCAAAGGUUCGAAGAGCUACGACCUAAUGUACUCUGCUCAGACACCUUUGAACUCUAAUGAAAAUUACGUUAAUCAUCUCUGUGAUGUACCCAAUGCUUAUAGUCCUUCAAACUUUGGAUACCAGACAUCCAACUAUUCAUACCCUGAAUAUUUAAGGGCAAUCGAAACUUUUAAUCUGACAGCAUGUAUUUUCACCUCUUCUGAAGAUGCCGAACCCAAGCUCAGUCUUCAGCAAGUGGCCAAUUCGCAACUGAACCGGGUUGCCCCAACUACAAAUGGCACGAAUAAUGCCGUCAAUCAGCUAUGUGCCAUCUGCGGGGACCGUGCCACUGGGAAGCAUUACGGAGCAUCCAGCUGUGACGGUUGCAAGGGUUUCUUCCGAAGAAGCGUGAGGAAGAACCACGUUUACGCGUGCCGGUUCGCGCGAAGCUGCGUUAUGGACAAAGAUAAAAGGAAUCAGUGUCGUUAUUGCAGGCUCAAAAAGUGCUUCAGGGCUGGCAUGAAAAAAGAAGCUGUGCAAAACGAAAGAGACAGAAUCAGCUGCAGGCGGCCAAGUUAUGAUGAAGCAACAAAUAACUCCGGAAUAACUUUAACUGCUCUGCUCAAUGCUGAAAUAUUUUCAAGACAGAUGACGCAUAUACCAGACGGGGACAUUUCAUCAAAAAAAGUGGCCAACAUCUCAGAUGUCUGCGAAUCUAUGAAACAGCAGCUAUUAAUUCUUGUAGAUUGGGCUAAAUACAUACCACAGUUCAGUGAAUUAUUACUGGACGAUCAGGUGGCUUUACUACGCGCCCACGCUGGAGAACAUUUGUUGCUGGGUCUCGCUAGACGUUCUAUGCAUCUAAAAGACACGCUGCUGCUGGGUAACGACUUUGUGAUACCUCGUCAAUCUCAAGAGGAAGAAAUAAGCCGGAUCGGUUGCCGGAUCAUGGACGAACUGACCACAACACUUCGGGAAGCUCGUGUAGACGACACAGAGUUUGCCUGCUUAAAAGCUAUAGUGUUUUUCGAUCCAUAUGCCAAAGGUCUUUCAGAUUCAAAGAGAAUUAAAGCUCUUCGAGAUCAAAUUCAAACGAAUCUGGAAGAUUACAUCAACGACAGACAAUAUGAUUCUCGGGGAAGGUUCGGAGAAAUUCUCCUUUUACUGCCUGCCCUUCAGAGUAUCACCUGGCAAAUGAUAGAGCAAAUACAGUUUGCCAAAUUAUUUGGAAUGGCUAAAAUAGAUAAUCUUUUGCAAGAAAUGCUACUUGGUGAUGCUUAAGUCGAAGCAAAUAUAGAGGGGGUGAGGAAGGAUUUUGAAGAAUUAACGUUGAUAAACACUAAACAUGAAAUGCUAAAUCUUCUCCAGAAAACAUUUCGUUCCAGGCCCGCUAAAAUUUCACAAUUCGCUUUUUCUUUCAGGGCGCUUCGUCUGAAACAUCUACAGCUUCUACUUCAACUGCUUUAAGUGAGGCUGGAAAUGGCUCCACAUCUAUUCAACAUGCUGUCCUUCAAGGUCCCGCUGAUCAUUUAACCAACGGUCAUAUCACAGA